AAAUUUACUAUCUGAUAGAUAAAAAUUGAAUUUUACUUUUAAGUGAAAAGGCUUAAUUAAUUUAAGGUGACGAUAAGACCCUAUAAAACUUUAUUACAAUAUAAUAGAAAUAAAAAUAUUAAUAAUAUAUUUAUAUUAUAUUAUAAUUUAAUUGGGGCGAUUGAGAUAUAUAAGUAACUGUUUUUAUGAUUAUAUAAUUAUAAUUAGAUUAUGAUCCUUUUUAUGGAUUAGAAGGCUAAGUUACUUUAGGGAUAACAGCGUGAUUUUUCUAGAGAGUUCAUAUCGAUAGAAGUAGUUGCGACCUCGAUGUUGAAUUAAAUUUUCUUUUAGGUGUAGCAGCUUAGAUAGUAGGUCUGUUCGACCUUUUAAAAUUUACAUGAUCUGAGUUCAAACCGG
rnacentral:rRNA from 1 species